AGAGUUCAUGUCUCUGAGACUGACCAGUGAAGCCAGCAGAGAGGCCUGUGCAGGGCGUCUGGAAGUUUUUUACAAUGGAGCUUGGGGCACUGUUGGCAAGAGUAGCAUGUCUGAAACCACUGUGGGUGUGGUGUGCAGGCAGCUGGGCUGUGCAGACAAAGGGAAAAUCAACUCUGCAUCUUUAGACAAGGCCAUGUCCAUUCCCAUGUGGGUGGACAAUGUUCAGUGUCCAAAAGGACCUGACACGCUGUGGCAGUGCCCAUCAUCUCCAUGGGAGAAGAGACUGGCCAGCCCCUCAGAGGAGACCUGGAUCACAUGUGACAACAAGAUAAGACUUCAGGAAGGACCCACUUCCUGUUCUGGACGUGUGGAGAUCUGGCAUGGAGGUUCCUGGGGGACAGUGUGUGAUGACUCUUGGGACUUGGACGAUGCUCAGGUGGUGUGUCAACAACUUGGCUGUGGUCCAGCUUUGAAAGCAUUCAAAGAAGCAGAGUUUGGUCAGGGGACUGGACCGAUAUGGCUCAAUGAAGUGAAGUGCAAAGGGAAUGAGUCUUCCUUGUGGGAUUGUCCUGCCAGACGCUGGGGCCAUAGUGAGUGUGGGCACAAGGAAGAUGCUGCAGUGAAUUGCACAGGUAAGUGCCAGAAGCCUGGAUUGAGCUUGGAAUCUCUGGCAGCAAAGAGGGGUUGGGCAGUGAUGUGUGUUGU
rnacentral:sRNA from 1 species